rnacentral:rRNA from 1 species
GAUGAACGCUAGCUACAGGCUUAACACAUGCAAGUCGAGGGGAAACGACAUCGAAAGCUUGCUUUUGAUGGGCGUCGACCGGCGCACGGGUGAGUAACGCGUAUCCAACCUGCCCAUCACUUGGGAAUAACCUUGCGAAAGUAAGACUAAUACCCAAUGAUAUCCCACGAAGGCAUCGGAAUGGGAUUAAAGAUUUAUCGGUGAUGGAGGGGGAUGCGUCUGAUGAGCUUGUUGGCGGGGUAACGGCCCACCAAGGCAACGAUCAGUAGGGGUUCUGAGAGGAAGGUCCCCCACAUUGGAACUGAGACACGGUCCAAACUCCUACGGGAGGCAGCAGUGAGGAAUAUUGGUCAAUGGGCGAGAGCCUGAACCAGCCAAGUAGCGUGCAGGAAGACGGCCCUAUGGGUUGUAAACUGCUUUUAUAAGGGAAUAAAGUGGGUCACGUGUGACUUUUUGCAUGUACCUUAUGAAUAAGGACCGGCUAAUUCCGUG